UACGUAGGGUGCGAGCGUUAAUCGGAAUUACUGGGCGUAAAACGUGCGCAGGCGGUUCGUUGUGUCGGUGGUGAAAGCCCCGGGCUUAACCUGGGAAUGGCCAUGGAAACUGGCGAACUGGAGUGUGGCAGAGGGGGGUGGAAUUCCGCGUGUAGCAGUGAAAUGCGUAGAGAUGCGGAGGAACACCGAUGGCGAAGGCAGCCCCCUGGGCUAGCACUGACGCUCAGGCACGAAAGCGUGGGGAGCAAACAGG
rnacentral:rRNA from 1 species